rnacentral:lncRNA from 1 species
CAUACUGACGUAGUUAAACAGUAUUGGCUGAACUCUUAUGUAAGAUGUUGAGUUAAUCCUUAUUAUAAGAAAUUGUGUCAAAGGUGAGAUUUUCUGAAAGUCUAGAGCAGGGGUCACAAACUCAAAGGCCUUUAGGAACCGGAAAGUGAAGUGUAGCAAGGCCAGGCCAAAUUCAGAAGAGGUGACUGAAAUGAUGCUGCCCGAUCAAAAAAUCGUUUGGUCUUCAGAAUUGAGCUCAUAGGAUCUUUUAACACGACUUGCUGUCUCCUUGUCAUCUUCUAGAGGCCAGGUGAUCUUCAAGAAACUCUGGGAAAUGUCGGGAAGGAACUUUGUAUUUACACCA